AGUGGGGGCUUGAGUCAAGAAUGACUUGCCGGUGUUUGCUUCUUGGCAAGCAUUAAUUAAGCCGGCUCACCGGCCUUAACCUAGUCCUCCGGCAAGUUGUUCUUGGCUCACCUUCGCUCUCU
rnacentral:pre_miRNA from 2 species